rnacentral:rRNA from 1 species
UGGGGAAUAUUGCACAAUGGGCGCAAGCCUGAUGCAGCCAUGCCGCGUGUAUGAAGAAGGCCUUCGGGUUGUAAAGUACUUUCAGUCGGGAGGAAGGUGGUAAGGUUAAUAACCUUAUCAAUUGACGUUACCGACAGAAGAAGCACCGGCUAACUCCGUGCCAGCAGCCGCGGUAAUACGGAGGGUGCAAGCGUUAAUCGGAAUUACUGGGCGUAAAGCGCACGCAGGCGGUUGAUUGAGUCAGAUGUGAAAUCCCCGGGCUUAACCCGGGAAUUGCAUCUGAUAAUGGUCAGCUAGAGUCUUGUAGAGGGGGGUAGAAGUCCAUGUGUAGCGGUGAAAUGCGUAGAGAUGUGGAGGAAUACCGGUGGCGAAGGCGGCCCCCUGGACAAAGACUGAAGCUCAGGUGCGAAAGCGUGGGGAGCAAACAGG